CAAAUUCAUACUUCACAGAAUAUUGAAACUUAAACAGUAUGCAUAAACCAAAUCUGGAUUUGUUUUGGUGCUGUUUAUUACUCAAACACUCAGAGAUGGAAGCAAAGAAAGUUACAACUCACCACAUACUGAGUUAGAGGAUGGGGAAUCUUCAGCAUUUGAACUUGGGGAGGAAGAAUAUAAAAAUACAGGUGGUCUAUCUGCAAUUAUGAACAAGGAAACAUCAACUACAAACUCUCUAUUCAGUCUGCUGUUGUUCCUCUUCAAAUGUAAUCAAAGAGAAUCUACUCAACUCAAAGUGAAAGCUGACACCAGGCUAUAAUGUUCAGUGAAACCUUACCAAAGAUCUCAGAGAAAUUGAAACGCACUACCACACAGAGACAUUUCAAGUUGGGUGUUAAAUUUGGCUUCACUCGGAGUUCAUGAAUCCAAUUCAUUUCAAAUGCAUCAGGUAUUUUUUUUCCUCUGCCUUGUUGCCAUUCCAAAUCCAGACAAAUAAACCUGGGGGAAAAUGCUAAAGAAAAUGCUUAAUUCAAUUUUCCAUCACGAUCAAAAGAAAUGAAUUUAAAGAUCUAUAAAAUC